AGAGUUUGAUCCUGGCUCAGGACGAACGCUGGCGGCGUGCUUAACACAUGCAAGUCGAACGGAAAGGCCCCCCCCUUGGUGGGGGUGCUCGAGUGGCGAACGGGUGAGUAACACGUGGGUGAUCUGCCCUGUACUUCGGGAUAAGCUUGGGAAACUGGGUCUAAUACCGGAUAGGACCAUGGUUUAGUGUCUCAUGGUGGAAAGAUUAUUGUUUUGGUGCAGGAUGAGCUCGCGGCCUAUCAGCUUGUUGGUGGGGUAAUGGCCUACCAAGGCGUCGACGGGUAGCCGGCCUGAGAGGGUGGACGGCCACAUUGGGACUGAGAUACGGCCCAGACUCCUACGGGAGGCAGCAGUGGGGAAUAUUGCACAAUGGGCGCAAGCCUGAUGCAGCGACGCCGCGUGGGGGAUGACGGCCUUCGGGUUGUAAACUCCUUUCGUUAGGGACGAAGCCACACCUUUUUUUGGGUGUGGUGACGGUACCUUUGUUAAGAAGCACCGGCUAACUACGUGCCAGCAGCCGCGGUAAUACGUAGGGUGCGAGCGUUGUCCGGAAUUACUGGGCGUAAAGAGCUCGUAGGUGGUUUGUUGCGUCGUCUGUGAAAUUCCGGGGCUUAACUUCGGGGUGGCAGGCGAUACGGGCAUAACUAGAGUGCUGUAGGGGAGACUGGAAUUCCUGGUGUAGCGGUGGAAUGCGCAGAUAUCAGGAGGAACACCGAUGGCGAAGGCAGGUCUCUGGGCAGUAACUGACGCUGAGGAGCGAAAGCAUGGGGAGCGAACAGGAUUAGAUACCCUGGUAGUCCAUGCUGUAAACGGUGGGCGUUAGGUGUGGGGACCGGUUUGGUUUCUGUGCCGUAGCUAACGCAUUAAGCGCCCCGCCUGGGGAGUACGGCCGCAAGGCUAAAACUCAAAGGAAUUGACGGGGGC
rnacentral:rRNA from 1 species